GAGUUUGAUCAUGGCUCAGAGCGAACGCUGGCGGCAGGCCUAACACAUGCAAGUCGAACGGAUCCUUCGGGAUUAGUGGCGGACGGGUGAGUAACACGUGGGAACGUGCCCUUUGGUACGGAACAACUCAGGGAAACUUGAGCUAAUACCGUAUGUGCCCUUCGGGGGAAAGAUUUAUCGCCAUUGGAGCGGCCCGCGUCUGAUUAGCUAGUUGGUGAGGUAAAGGCUCACCAAGGCUACGAUCAGUAGCUGGUCUGAGAGGAUGAUCAGCCACACUGGGACUGAGACACGGCCCAGACUCCUACGGGAGGCAGCAGUGGGGAAUCUUGCGCAAUGGGCGAAAGCCUGACGCAGCCAUGCCGCGUGAAUGAUGAAGGUCUUAGGAUUGUAAAAUUCUUUCACCGGGGACGAUAAUGACGGUA
rnacentral:rRNA from 1 species